UUCAGCAGCCAUAUCACCCUGCAGCCCAAGACUGAUCUCCCACUGAAGCUAAGCAGGGUUGAGCCUGGUCAGUACCUGGAUGGGAGACCUCCUGGGAAAACUAGGUUGCUGCUGGAA
rnacentral:rRNA from 1 species